rnacentral:tRNA from 1 species
AGGGCUAUAGCUCAGCGGUAGAGCGCCUCAUCUACACCGAGAGUGUCUGCGGUUCGAAUCCGUAUAGUCUUA